CGCGAAUGGCUCAUUACAACAGCAAUCGUUUAUUUGAUAGUAACUUUACCCUGGAUAACCGUGGUAAACCUAGAGCUAAUACAUGCGCAAUAUCCCUGACUAGGCAACUGGAAGGGGAUGUAUUUAUUAGAUAAAAAACCAAUGCGAGUGCCUUUUCGGAGGUGCUCGGACAGUGGGUGAUUCAUAAUAACUUGUCGAAUCGUUUAUGGCCUUUUGCGCCUACGAUGGUUCAUUCAAAUUUCUGCCCUAUCAACUUUGUAGGUAGUAUAGAGGACUACCUAGGUGGUAACGGGUAACGGAGAAUUAGGGUUCGAUUCCGGAGAGGGAGCCUGAGAAACGGCUACCACUUCCAAGGAAGGCAGCAGGC
rnacentral:rRNA from 1 species